rnacentral:misc_RNA from 1 species
AUGGUCAUCGUGGGGUUUUAGUCGGUAAGAGUCCGACACUACCCGGACGCGUCUGGUGGCGCCCGGGUGUCCAUGAGGAUUUCCCCACGUAUAAAAAAAAAAAAAAAAAAAGGUUGGGGUUAGGUUGGGGUUAGGUUGGGGUUAGGUUGGGGUUAGGUUGGGGUUAGGUUGUCAACGUCCGUUGGCUGGGGUGAAACACUCGUUCCCGUUAGAUCACGAAAGUUAAGCACCCCAGGUUGCGGGGCGGUCUGGGAUGGGUGACCGCUCCGUGAUGACGUUGGCGCUUUGGAUUGCGGUGACCAAAUCCGGUUUUUUUUUUCGGAUUCCACCAAGGACCAGGAGAGACUAGAGGGCACCCCAAACCAGGAGGAAGCAGUACGGGCCACCAGGAGGAUGUUCGGGUGGGGAAGUCGGUUUGGGGGACAACCGUUCCACCUGUGGGCGACAUCGUGGUACGCCGACGAGAGUUUCCGGCUGGGUGGGGGCAAGAGCGCCUAGUAGGGAUUGGUGCCCCCGAACGGCGUGUUCUCCCCCCUCCCCCCGAUGAAACCUGCAGAUGGACGAAGCUCGGACGCCAACUGGGGGACCCGGAGGCUGAAAGUAGGCAACGGCGACGUGGCCAGAGGUGGAUGACCUGCCUCUGGCUCCGGAACAACAUCUCGGAGGACAACACCAGCGGCGUCGGACUACAAGCGGUGGUCGUAUUCGCAAGAGAACCUACCCUAAGUCCACAAGACGCCAGGAUGGUCAUCGUGGGGUUUUAGUCGGUAAGAGUCCGACACUACCCGGACGCGUCUGGUGGCGCCCGGGUGUCCAUGAGGAUUUCCCCACGUAUAAAAAAAAAAAAAAAAAAAAAAGGUUGGGGUUAGGUUG